AGUUGCACAGCUGCCUGGUAGGUGACUGGAGGCAUUGAGCAGUGCUCACUGGUAUUUCGCUGAUGUGGCCCCAACCCCGCCUCCCUCCCCACCCCGCGAUGUCAGAAAAAACACAACAGGGGAAAUUGGCCGCAGCCAAGAAAAAGUUAAAAGCAUAUUGGCAGAGGAAGAGCCCUGGCAUUCCAGCAGGAGCUAACAGGAAAAAGAAAAUCAAUGGCAGUAGCCCUGACACAGCCACUUCUGGUGGUUACCACUCACCUGGGGAUUCAGCAACAGGUAUCUACGGGGAGGGCCGUGCAUCCUCUACUACCCUGGAGGAUCUGGAGAGCCAGUACCAAGAACUAGCAGUGGCCCUGGAUUCAAGCUCCGCAAUAAUCAGUCAACUCACUGAAAACAUCAAUUCACUGGUUCGCACAUCUAAGGAGGAGAAGAAGCAUGAGAUACAUCUGGUACAGAAGCUUGGGAGGAGCUUGUUCAAACUCAAAAACCAGACGGCUGAACCCCUGGCCCCAGAGCCCCCAGCAGGGCCAUCUAAGGUAGAGCAGCUACAAGAUGAGACCAACCACCUAAGGAAGGAGCUAGAGAGUGUGGGAAGACAGCUCCAGGCUGAGGUGGAAAACAAUCAGAUGUUGAGUCUCCUGAACAGGAGACAGGAGGAGAGGCUACGUGAACAGGAGGAGAGGCUACGUGAACAGGAGGAGAGGCAACGUGAACAGGAGGAUAGGCUACAUGAACAGGAGGAGAGGCUACGUGAACAGGAGGAGAGGCUGUGUGAACAGGAGGAGAGGCUGUGUGAACAGGAGGAGAGGCUACGUGAACAUGAGGAGAGGCUGUGUGAACAGGAGGAGAGGCUAUGUGAACAGGAGGAGAGGCUACGUGAACAGGAGGAGAGGCUACAUGAACAGGAGGAGAGGCUACGUGAACAGGAGGAGAGGCUGUGUGAACAGGAGGAGAGGCUACGUGAACAUGAGGAGAGGCUGUGUGAACAGGAGGAGAGGCUACGUGAACAGGAGGAGAGGCUGUGUGAACAGGAGGAGAGGCUACGUGAACAGGAGGAGAGGCUGUGUGAACAGGAGGAGAGGCUACGUGAACAGGAGGAGAGGCUGUGUGAACAGGAGAAGCUGCCAGGGCAGGAGAGGCUGCUGGAAGAGGUGGAGAAGCUGUUAGAACAGGAGAGGCGGCAGGAGGAGCAGGAGAGGCUGCUGGAGAGGGAGAGGCUGCUGGAAGAGGUGGAGGAGCUCCUGGAGCAGGAGAGGCUUCGGCAACAGGAUGAGAGGCUGUGGCAGCAGUAGACUCUGCAGGAGCUGGAGAGGCUGCGGGAGCUGGAGAGGCUGCGGGAGCUGGAGAGGAUGCUGGAGCUGGGGUGGGAAGCCCUGUACGAGCAGCGGGCCGAGCCACGCAGCGGCUUCGAGGAGCUGAACAACGAGAACAAGAGCACACUGCAGUUGGAGCAGCAAGUAAAGGAGCUGAAGAAGUCGGGUGGAGCUGAAGAGCCAAGAGGCUCCGAGUCUGCAGCAGCAGCCAGACCAGUAGCUGGAGCCCCAGUCCCACAAGGAGCUUGGAUGUGCGGACAAGCAGGGUGGACUCCCCAGGAGCACCCAGGCUUGAGUGGAGAAGCUGUUGGUACAGGAGAGGCGGCAGGAGGAGCAGGAGAGGCUGCAUGCCAUUCUUUUCGGGCUGCGGAGAACAGGGAGCUAAACAUCACCAUCAUCUAAGAGCGGGUCAAGGAAUUGAAAAAAAAAAAACAAAACAUUUAAGGGGUUAAUAUCCUACACAAUUCAUUUACUUCAUUUGAAUGUUAGAGCCACUUAUGUUUAUUUGUGUUUCUAAUUUAUAGUUUAAAUUUAUUUGUGUUUCUAAUUUAUAGUUUAAAUUUAUUUGUGUUUCUAAUUUAUAGUUUAAAUUUAUUUGUGUUUCUAAUUUAUAGUUUAAAUUUAUUUGUGUUUCUAAUUUAUAAUUUAAAUUUAUUUGUAAAAAGUUAAAUGAGAGUGGGUGUUUCUCUCAUGUUCACUCUGGCAUCUUUUAGCAUUUUUUUAAUUUGAUAAUUAUAGGACGUUAGCAUGCAUAUCGAGUUUGCCCUUAUGUGGUGGGAGUUCAAACACACAAAGACCCACUGUAUGCACACAACUGUUCUUGCUGGUUUGGGAUAGGCUGCCAUGCUUUUUUAAUGUUAGUACAGCCUGUAUAUUCAUUACGGAAUUCAGAUAAAAUUUCCUUAUGUUCUGCUGUUAUGUUUGAUCGAAUCCUAAUCACAGUGAGCUCUUCAUUAGCUCAAUAUGCAGUUUGCCCUCAAGUGCGCGGUCUAUUACUUUGUAAUAUGCCACUGUGAGUACUGACAUUUACAGUUGUUUAAAGGUGGAGCACUGGAAACAGCCUUUCCCCCUUUUUCUGUGUAUUGGGGAUGGGAGUAAUAACAUUUUGGGGAGGUUUUUAAAUCUCCCAGAAGAGGAAAGUGGCCUGCUUUGGCAGGUGUGUGCAGGAUAGAAUAUGUUUCAUUUGUUUCAGUGCCAAGAAUGAGUGCUGUACUACAGUAGUUCCCUUAGGAUUUGUAUGUGCUCUGGGCUCAUGAAGAUACUGCCUCAUGAGCUGUGGCAGUUGUACUCUUUUUUGAUGACCUGAAAAGGGAUUAUUUCUGAGGAAUGAAAGGCUCCCAUCAUGACUGUGGAUGUGGAAAACCUUUUCUAGCUGAGAGCAUUUAUAUCUACAAUACAUUUUAAAGUCAGAGUUCAUGUUCCCUGUUUUAAUCACAUGACUACAUGUCCCAGUACACAAAAGGGCACUGGUUGGCGUUCUCCUUAAUGUAUUUAGUAAAGAUCAGAAGAAAUCCUUUAAGAGUUUAAAUGCCCCUGGAACAGGCAUAUACAGGCUCUAGUCAAGAAUGAAUUCGAGUGAAGGAAAGCUGUGUGACACCUGGCAUUCCUCUGUGUUCAUGGAGCUUAUUUGAGGCUAGAAGAUGGAUUUUACCAUCUAGACCUCUCUGGCUAAUAGCUAGUCUUCAACCAUCUGACAUAGGAAUUUACUUCUUUUCCUUGAAUGGAGAACACUUUAAAAAUAAUAACAAACAUUAUUAUAAACUAAUAUAUGUGAGAGUACUUAGUUGAAACAAAAAGGAGUUUUAGUAGACAGUAUUAUACUACAUUUGAAAAUCAAGGAGCAGUUUAUGCAACGUAAAAUGUUUACAAACUGCAGCGCAAUCUACUGUUUGUGACUGUCAAAGUGUCAUGAGGAAAGUGUCUAUACAAUCACAGAGUUAUAUUUCCUCACAAAGUUCUUUACGAAGAGUGAAAUAUGUUUUUAUACCUCUCAGUUUCAGUUAGAGGCAUAUUUUGUGUAAUAUUUAUGGCUUAAAAUGGACUAAAGGUCCUGUUCUUGCCUUUUCUGAACUUGCCGCUUUUGCAUUCUUUGAGUUCAGUUUAAAGACACUUACUUUAACUCCAUUUUAAACCCUCGGGCUAGAAAUCGUACCACUGUUAAUUAGCCACGUUAUUUGGUCUAACAGUUUUUGUUUAUCAUUCUGAAACUGAGCUUAUCUAAUACAUUGAUAAAUUAUUUCAAAGGUAUUUUUAUAGUUCAAAUCGCUUCACUUUUACCCUGACACGUAUAAAUGAAUAGGAAUGACCUUCAGAUAGCGUUUAGCAACUGUAACCAAUCUGACAAUAAUGUGUUCAUCAGGUACCUGUGGAUUAAAUCACAUACUGGCAUAUUUAAGAUGAAUGUCAGUCUGAAAAAUAAAUAUACUAUAUUAAUUCAAAUACGACUCUGUGUAGGUAUUUUGUCAUAUGUUUAAGAAAAAGCUAAAGAGAAUGGAAAUCCUAUGACAAUAACUCAAGUCUUUCUUCAAAGUGCAUGCAGUCUUUUGCAGUACCUCAUUCAGCCAAGUAUUUGUUCUCUACCUCAUUCAGUAUAAGGCAGCCUUUAAUUUGCUUAGAAGGCAACAUUAGAAGGUUAGAGUUCAGCAGGAACAUAGAAUUUUAAAAUGUGACUUCAACUGAAUAAAUUUGAAUUUCUGUAGGGAGUAAAGAAUCAAAACACCUAUUUAAAGACUGCAAAAUAUGAUAAUUAUUUUUAAAGUAAUUGAUUAAACCUGGUAGGUUUUCCCAAAAUGAAAAACAAUCAGUUCUAAAACCAAAGCUGAUUUUUAGAAAAUGUGAAAAUGUAAAUCAACCCUAUCCAUAAUAGAUUCUCUAAAACUUUAUCUUACAGUCACUUUCAAAUAACUAUUCAAAAAUGUAACUGCUAUAUUAACGUCUUAAAAUAAUUUAAAACAUUUUAAAAUAUGAAUACUGUAGUUUAAAACAAAGAAUCUAGGGGAAGGAAAAGUAGACAAAGAAAUGCCAAUUCCAGUCCAAAGCUGUAUUUGCCAAGUUUUCUUAGAAUGACUUUUACCGAUUUAUGAAUUCUUAUACACAGAAUGCAUAAUGGAAAUACUGAUUUUUGUCUAAAGUGGCAUUAUUGACUGCUGCUGUGAUGCUACUGUAAUGUAAUACAUUAUUAAAUUGUUUCAAGGUGCUGUUUUGCCUAAAAAUUUUGUGUGUCUUGAAAACUAUAGUAUUGGGUAUUGAGACUCUGCAAAUUCUCGGCAUGCUUGGCAUGAGGUAAUCGGUUUUUAUUCUUACAAAAUUGUAACUAUGUAAGUGUGUUUAUUAAAAGAACACAAACUAAAAAAGUUAACAGGAAUUAAAGUUGUGGGAUGAAAAAGUUACAGGAUAAAAAAAUACUGUGGAAAAGUGGCAAAAAAAAGUUGUGGAAAAAAAGUAAAAAAAAAGUUUUAUGAAAAGUUAUUUUAAAAAGUUAUGAAAAAUUAGUUACAGGAUUUAAAAAAAGUCAUGGGAUAAAAAUAAAAAUAAAUAAAAGCAGGCCCCUGUCAGCAUAAGCCUGGAGAAGUGGGUCUGGAGUCUUCACCCCCACCAUGUCCCUACAACCCCUCCCCAGUCAGCCCUUUACCAUUAGGGUAGCAAGACAAGACCCUUGUCUAAUGGAGGGAGACAAACAGACCCUUUACCACCUUGACCAAGGCUGAGUCCUUACAUUUCUGGAUGAUGAUGUUUGUUAUUUAAGAGCCAGAGGUUGGUGGAGUUGGUUUGUUUGGAGGAGGUCUGACGGCCUUCUUACUCUCACCAAAGCAACUUUUCCCUCAGGGGGGCUCCCAUCUUCUUACUCAGAGAGGCAGCUGAGGCGGGACAGUGGAGUUAACUGUAGACCAGGCCAGGGCACAGGCUGCUGGGGGUGGCCCCCCUUCCCCCGUGUACAUACUGUAGCUGUGUAACAUUCUGUAUCGUACCUAGCGGAGGUUGCAGCUGGCAUAUGAGGAAGAGGUUCUUAUAAUUAUUCGCGGCUGGGAAACUUAUUUAUUGCUAGCAUAGGAGCGAGGAAGCAGGCGGGGAUGGGGUCAUGGCUGCCUGGUGAUGGGACUCCUGUUUUUUGUUUUUUGUUUUUUGCUUUUGAUUUUGGAAUAAAUGGAUUUAGCCAUA